GAGAGAGAAGCAUAAAAGUAGGAUGUGCAACUAGCUUGAAACUAGGGGGAGGGGGUUCAAGUCCCUCAUCUCUUG
rnacentral:tRNA from 1 species